rnacentral:rRNA from 1 species
UACAGAGGGGGCAAGCGUUGUUCGGAAUUACUGGGCGUAAAGGGCGCGUAGGCGGCCUGCUAAGUCGAACGUGAAAUCCCCAGGCUCAACCUGGGAACUGCGUGUGAGACUGGCAGGCUCGAGGGCAGGAGAGGAACGCGGAAUUCCAGGUGUAGCGGUGAAAUGCGUAGAUAUCUGGAGGAACACCGGUGGCGAAGGCGGCGUUCUGGACUGUCUCUGACACUGAAGAACGAAAGCCAGGGGAGCAAACGGG